AACUCGGCCAUUUAGAGGAAGUACAAGUCGUAACAAGGUUUCCGUAGGUGAACCUGCGGAAGGAUCAUAGUAAUCGUCUUUGACGCACGCUAGUCUCCGUCGUCCUCGGGACGUUAAGGUGCUCUGGUCGAGGAUAAACGACCCCUCUGACCGAGGCUAAUCCGUCGUCCUUUCCGUGUUACCGCUCCCGGCACACGUUAAAGAGCGUUCCGCGUUGUGAGUCUCACUCGGUUGUUAAACGAUCGUUUACAACCGGUAGCGAUGGAUCCCUUGGCACGUCAUUCGAUGAAGACCGUUGCAAAUUGCGAUAAAGUGAUGUGAUGCGCAAGUCCACCACUUAUACGUGAAUCAUCGAGUUGUUGAACGCAUUGCACCGCGCCCUAAACCGGCUGUGGUAUGCCCCUUUGAGCGUCAUUGUUACCCUUCGGGAGUCUUUUUCUUCAAAGACCCGAGUUCGGAGUCCUCGGUCCUUGUUGGAUCGUGUUCUCUUAGAUCGAUCGCGCCGAUCGUCCGGUGGGUCCUCUAAUGCCUGAGCGUGGAGGGCCUCUGGGGUUUCGAGAGGCGUCCGACCGCGUGUUGAAGCGCUGGUCAGCAAGUCCCGCACGGCUCAGCCCGUCGGUGCUACAGCUUCAUGACCUCAUCGGGGUAGGACAACCCGCUAGACUUAAGCAUAUUAAUCAGCGGAGGAAAAGAAACUAACCAGGAUUCCCUCAGUAACUGCGAGUGAAGCGGGAUCGGCUCAAUGUGUGAAUCUGGCGG
rnacentral:rRNA from 1 species